rnacentral:lncRNA from 1 species
UUACAGCAUCAUCCCUAGAUCCCACUGGCUGCCCUCUGGGAUCACUCUGUGUUUCAGUGAAAGAAAUCAAACAGUGCUGUCUCUUAAUUACAUAAUCAGGAUAAAUAAUAGGAAGAAUCACUUGAUGGGAAUUCCAAUGGAGAAAAUGGGAGUGAAGUAGGAAGUACAGGUAUCAGGAAACAACAGAUGUCUCUUACUUCCUCCAAGGGCGAUGUAGAGUGGAAGAAAGUGAUGCCAUGCUGCACUUCACAACACCAGUGACAGUGGGAGAGUGAUAAAACAACCAGGAGCAAGAGGAAAAGAGCUGUUACUUCCCUCUGUCCCACACGUGGCAAUUCUCCUAUGCAAAGUUUACUGACAGUGUGGCACUCCAAAUUACAUUAAGGAGCAACAGUCAUUUUACUCAUGACAGAGUUGAAAGCAGCUUUUUUCACACCCUGAUGACAACUGGAUGCACAUUACUGCUCCCUUAG